rnacentral:lncRNA from 1 species
GGUCCAAGCGCGUAUUUAUAUCCUUGCAGUUCAGAUAUAACCACGAUUACCCUCACAAUAGAUUAGCACAAUAUUCUCCAUAGUAGGGAUCACCACGAUCAUCCCUGUAGUAGAGUCACUACAUCAUAUCUCUCUGACAAGGCAUCACCAUGAUCACCCCUAUGGUGGGGAUCUUUAUACAAUCUAGUCCGAACUCAAUACACAGUAAGGCU